CUACAAAUGGGAAGACCAUCAUAUUGAAGAACCAUGUCAAAGUUCUCAAAGACAUACAAGGUACCCAUGAAGCAACUUCAUUUGAAACUUUUGCCCCAAGGAAUGGCUAAUAGCUUUCCAUUAUGUAAAAAAUUUUGUUGUUGCUUCGAUACAAGAAGUCAGGACAUUGAAUCUUGCACUGUCUAUUGUUCCUUAUAUGGAUAUUUUAUCAGCUGAUCCCUCUGAAGGAGUUUUACUACAAGCCUUGGCUCUGAUACAAGGAGCUUUAAAAUUUUGGAGUGGUUAUUGUUCAAAGACAGUAUCUUCUGGCCUCCUCCAAGGGGCUGGCUUCAAGUCUCCAGCUCUGCUUUCUGCAGCACUCUAGGCUCAGGUGGAUCCACUUCACUGAUGCUGCUAUUCUUGGAGAUCAUACCGUGGUACUGGCAUCUCUAACAAGUGGGGUCUUCUGCUGCAAAUAGGCCCCACCAAUAGCUUCUCAUAGGCUUUCAUCACGCCAAGCCUCAACUCUUUUUCAUGACCUCUCCAUUCUUGAGCUGUCAAUUAAAACUGAGGCUGAACCUUCACCAAUGACCUCUGACCACCUGACCCCUGAUCCCGUCACCCAUGACCCUGCCACGUGUGACACACUGGCACCCCACCAUGUGACUCCUGACCCAAAGACACCCCGACCCUGCCCAAGCUCUGCUCCUCGGCACCCAAGCCAGCGUACAACCUGAGCGAGGCCUUUGGAUGAUGAUGGGACCCAGAGUGGCCACAAGAGGGAGCCAGAUUCCUAGACACGGAGUCAUUUGUCCAGCCACCAAAAGAAGGUACAAAAUAUCACAGCACCUGCUGGGAUUCAAACUCAUGACCUUUGGGAGAACAGUUUGUGCCCUUAACCGCUAAGCUACCUGUUCUCAGUUUUUACAUUUGACCUUUUGGCGUCAUGGUCGCCUGAGGCGACAAGAAUAGGAUUGGGAAUCUGCGCAUGCUCACUCGCCGGAGGCGGAUUUAAAGUCUUGUCUCAAGUAUUUUUCUUUUUGGAAGAAAUGAACAUUUUACUUAAACUUUAGAAGAGAUGAGAAAGAAAACCCACGUUUUCCUGGGGAGCCGC
rnacentral:lncRNA from 1 species